rnacentral:rRNA from 1 species
UACAGAGGGUGCGAGCGUUGUCCGGAAUCACUGGGCGUAAAGGGCGCGUAGGUGGUGGCUUAAGCGUGCGGUGAAAGCUCGGGGCUCAACUCCGAGUCGGCCGUGCGAACUGGGCUCACUGGAGCAUAGUAGAGGCAGGUGGAAUUCCGGGUGUAGCGGUGGAAUGCGUAGAGAUCCGGAAGAACACCGGUGGCGAAGGCGGCCUGCUGGGCUAUGGCUGACACUGAGGCGCGACAGCGUGGGGAGUAAACAGG